UUGCAGAUUAAGGGAAAGAACAAAUGUAUCAAAGAUAUAGGGAGGAGGCAGAAGCUGCUAGACUGAUGGAGGAGGAGAAGGCCUUGAAACAAUUACGGAAAAUUUUGGUGCCUCAUGCAAGAUCUGUGCCUAGAUUUGAUAAUCCUUUCCUCCCAGAGAAGUCUUCCAGAGCAGUGACAAAACCAAGAUCACCCAAGAAAUAGGCAAGAAAGGAGAAAAAUGGCGUGUCCUUAUGCAGCAGCAGUUCCUAGUGCUGCCUCCCUUUUUUUUUGCACGCGUAUUCACAGGUCUUCCAGAGCAGUGACAAAACCAAGAUCACCCAAGAAAGAGGCAAGAAAGGAGAAAAAUGGCGUGUCCUUAUGCAGCAGCAGUUCCUAGUGCUGCCUCCCUUUUUUUUUGCACGCGUAUUCACAGGUCUUCCAGAGCAGUGACAAAACCAAGAUCACCCAAGAAAUAGGCAAGAAAGGAGAAAAAUGGCGUGUCCUUAUGCAGCAGCAGUUCCUAGUGCUGCCUCCCGGAUGAGGUGAACUUAUAAAUUCUUAGAAAGACAAUGAAGGAGAAAGAUGUCCCCAGUGAGGUCAAAAACGUUUAAUGAUUCAAAAACUGGGGAUGAAUUGUUCAAGAAUCCUUGAACCCCAUGGAGAGAUGAGGGACAAUGCUACCAAAUGGCUGGAACCAGUACUGUGUUUGUCUGUAAAAGAUGUGCCUUUUUUGGUAUAUAAUGAAUUCUUCGAAAUAUAUGUUCGUUAGCAGAUUUUAUUUCAUUGUGAAUUGAAUAUACAUACCAAAUAGUUUUUAUAUA